ACCGACAACAAUGAAAUUUAUAGUAAAAGGAAAAUCCGUCGACU
rnacentral:tRNA from 1 species